UACGUAGGGGGCAAGCGUUGUCCGGAAUUAUUGGGCGUAAAGAGCGCGUAGGCGGUCCGGUAAGUCGGUUGUGAAAGUCGGGGGCUCAACCCUCGGAUGCCGAUCGAUACUGUCGGGCUAGAGUCCGGAAGAGGCGAGUGGAAUUCCUGGUGUAGCGGUGAAAUGCGUAGAUAUCGUAAGGAAGACCAGUGGCGAAGGCGGGUCUCUGGACAGUUCCUGACGCUGAGGCACGAAGGUCAGGGGAGCAAACGGG
rnacentral:rRNA from 1 species